rnacentral:rRNA from 1 species
GGUGACUAACAUGUGUGGGAGUCACUGGGAUGUCGGAGAACACCCACAGGCGAAGUGAAAGCGGGGCCCACUUUUCGCGGUGUCCCAGGGAGUUCGUYGUCGGCAAGACGGGCGGCCGCGCUCGCGGGGCGCCUCGGCCUCCGGCCAGAGUCGCACCCGGAGCGUAAACGUUGGGACCCGAAAAAUGGUGAACUAUGCCUGGUCAGGACAAAUUGAGGGGAAACCAUGAUGGAGAUCCGCAGUGAUUCUGACGUGCAAAUCGAUCGUCAGGGCUGGGUAUAGGGGCGAAAGACUAAUUGAACCAUUUAAUAGCUGGUUYCCUCCGAAGAAAACCUUACGAUAGAUUGCGUCUAUUACGACCGGGACGAGUCUCACCUCUUAAACGAAUGAUUAGAGGCUUUGGGCCGGAAACGACUUCCACCAUUCUCAAACUUUAAUAGGGUGAGAUGUCCAGCUUGCUUGGCAGAAACCACGAGGUCUGGUUCAGGGUGCCAAGUGGGCCAUUUUUG